ACUCCAACUAUCGAACUUUACAGUGAAAGUAAAGCAAGAACUUCAACCUUAUUUUUAAAGUUGAAGCACUUAGUUUCAAUAGCAAGAAGCUGAAUGUUUUCUCGAGCACUCAAUUAAAAAGGUUGUGUCACUGAGUCCAUAUUUAUGAUAUCUUCAAAAUUCUCCACAACUAACAUAAAAGUCUAACUUUUUUACCUGAUUUACAUACUUUUUUUGAGACUUGUGAUGACAAGAAGAAAGUGAGAAAUUGUUUUAGAUUUUUGUUAAUGCACCUGCAAAGGAGUAAUCACAGCUGAACAUCCUCAGAAAAAAUGACUUCAGUGUUUGCUGUCAUCCCCACACUUAUUUCCAGUCUCUGGGCUGCCCUCUGGACAAUCAGGAGGCAAAGCAAUUGCUGUUCAGGCAACUGCCCUUGCCAGAAAAAAUAACAGACAGUGAACACUACAAGCAAUUUCUAAGUAGAGUUCCAGUUAUUUGCUGCCCUUUUUCCACAUGCUUUGCUCUCCCCUAAAAUAGUGACACCUAUCUUAGUAUCUACAUUCAUACCCAUAUCCUUCCAGCCUCAGGCAUUAGCAAUACCUUCUGCUUUUCUAGUCCUAAUGACAAGAGAUUACUUGUGCUAACCUUGAACUCCCAGUCUCCUCCUUUUUAACAGGUUUUAACAGCAGCUUUGCUUGGCAUGAGAAAGGCUUUUUCCAGCAAAUUAACCCUCCACUUCCAAAGGGCAGGAAUAACAGCACAGACCACACCUAGUUUUCUGCCAUUUGCUAAAUCAGCUCCUAGGUCACUAUUGUCAUUUGUGACUCCUCUGCCAGCUCUGCUGGCAGGUGCCCCCAGUAUCACAGCCUCCAUCCUCCCAGAAAAAAACACAUCCAGUACACAUGGGAGCAUUCAGUGUUCCAGUUGCCCUUCAGCCUCACAUGAGGUUUGCCCAUGCUGCAGGCUGUCCUGCAGAAAGAGCGGCACACAGCGUGGCCAGCCAAUGCUUGUAAACUGCAGUGGCAGUAAGGCCCCCACGUAGGAACUUACCAGCUGAGCACUUUAAGGGGAAGUCAGAUAUUUGCCAGUUCUUUGCAGACGAAAGGGGCCGAAAAUGGAGUUCAAGAAUAAAUAAAUUUGAUAUCCUAAAAAGAAGGAAAAA
rnacentral:lncRNA from 1 species